rnacentral:lncRNA from 1 species
UGUUGUUAUUUUUAAGAUAAACCUUACACACUUGUUUAUUCAUUUUAGAGAUGGAGACCAUUGCAACCCAGGCUAGCAUUGAACUCAUAAUCCUGGUUUUGUUUCAGCCUCCUGAGAAGUUUCAAGUAGAGAGAAGAGAGCACAGUACCUUCCAAGUCAGAGAAGAGUGGAAGUGAAAGCCCGGAGGAGAUGAAGACAAAGGCGUGUGCAGGAAUGUGGAAGAUCUAUGUGUCUGGAUGGUGGAGAGCUUUUCCACAAUGUGAUUUACUGCCGGUAAUUGCUAUGCCUUGAAUCUGGAAUGUUCCCCCCGGCUGAUGUAAAAGGUUUCAAUCCCCAGCCCAUGAUCCUUUAGGAAUGUUACGAACCUUUAGAGAGUAAGGCAUAGUGGAAAGAAGUGGGGUCACUGGGGCAGGCCCUGGAAAGAGAUACGGAGUAGCAUUGCAGAGCAGGCCUAGUCUUCUAGGUGCCCGGCCUUUGGCAGAUUCUUGUUAAGAUUCUUUUUAUCAGCCUCCUCCAUUAUCUUCCUUUCUAUUGGGCUGCUGUCAGGUAAGCAACUUCUCCUCUUCCACCCGUCUGCAGGAGGAUGAGAUGCUUUGUACAGACGCAGAGGCAGCAAGGUGCAAAUGACCACGGCCUGAAACCUCUGACAGCAUGAGCUAAAUUCGAUUAUCUUCUAAAUACCACAAACUUUUCAAAUGAAAAGUCUAGGGAUUCAGCGAUGCCUCAGUCCUUACGAUCAUGUGUUGCGUGGCUUUUGCAGAGGACCUAGGUACAGUCUCCAGCACGUACAUGCAGUACCAGCAGAUGUGACACUCUCUUCUGACCAGGCAUGCAUGUGGUACAUAGACAUACAUGCAGGCAAGCCACUUAAUAUGUAUACGUAUAUGUAUAUGUAGAUAUAUAGAAAUGCAUCUAAAAGAAAAAGGGAAAAACUAUAGGGAAAUCGCAUAUUUAACCACCCAAGUUAAUUGGAGCAUGAUUCAAAUGCUCAGUUCAAUGAUGAUAUAUGUGCACUACUGAAAUCCAAAUAAAAAUAAACAUGCCAUUGGCUUGCAGAAUGCUCUGUUGUGGUCUUCAUAUCCAAUCUCCUACUCCUACAUGACACUCGAGACCAGUGCUGGUCAGCUUUCUCAAACUGGAGACUGAAUUUGCCUGCUCCAGAACCCUGACGAAGUAGAAGCCCGCAACACACAUUUCCACGUCUU